rnacentral:rRNA from 1 species
GACGAGGGGUCCAAGCGUUGUUCGGAAUUAUUGGGCGUAAAGCGGGUGUAGGUGGCUCUAUAAGUCAGGAGUGAAAUCCCCAAGCUUAACUUGGGAAGUGCUUUUGAUACUGCAGAGCUUGAAUGUGGGAGAGGAUAAUAGAAUUCCAGGUGUAGUGGUGAAAUGCGCAGAUAUCAGGAAGAACACCCGUGGCGAAGGCGGUUCUCUGGGACGGUACUGACGCUGAGACGCGAAAGCGUGGGGAGCGAACAGG